rnacentral:rRNA from 1 species
CUUCGGGACAGUGGCAGACGGGUGAGUAACGCGUGGGAAUCUACCUAGCUCUACGGAAUAGCUUCGGGAAACUGGAAUUAAUACCGUAUACGCCCUCCGGGGGAAAGAUUUAUCGGAGUUAGAUGAGCCCGCGUUAGAUUAGCUAGUUGGUGGGGUAAUGGCCUACCAAGGCGACGAUCUAUAGCUGGUCUGAGAGGAUGAUCAGCCACACUGGGACUGAGACACGGCCCAGACUCCUACGGGAGGCAGCAGUGGGGAAUAUUGGACAAUGGGCGAAAGCCUGAUCCAGCCAUGCCGCGUGUGUGAUGAAGGCCUUAGGGUUGUAAAGCACUUUCAACGGGGAAGAUAAUGACGGUACCCGUAGAAGAAGCCCCGGCUAACUUCGUGCCAGCAGCCGCGGUAAUACGAAGGGGGCUAGCGUUGUUCGGAAUUACUGGGCGUAAAGCGCGCGUAGGCGGAUUGAUCAGUUAGGGGUGAAAUCCCAAGGCUCAACCUUGGAACUGCCUCUAAUACUGUCAAUCUAGAGUUCUAGAGAGGUGAGUGGAAUUCCGAGUGUAGAGGUGAAAUUCGUAGAUAUUCGGAGGAACACCAGUGGCGAAGGCGGCUCACUGGCUAGAUACUGACGCUGAGGUGCGAAAGUGUGGGGAGCAAACAGGAUUAGAUACCCUGGUAGUCCACACCGUAAACGAUGGAAGCUAGCCGUUAGGUA